rnacentral:rRNA from 1 species
UACGAAGGGGGCUAGCGUUGCUCGGAAUCACUGGGCGUAAAGCGCACGUAGGCGGAUUGUUAAGUCAGGGGUGAAAUCCUGGAGCUCAACUCCAGAACUGCCUUUGAUACUGGCGAUCUCGAGUCGGGAGAGGUGAGUGGAACUGCGAGUGUAGAGGUGAAAUUCGUAGAUAUUCGCAAGAACACCAAGUGGCGAAGGCGGCUCACUGGCCCGGUACUGACG